UAAUACCAGCUCCCUGAGUGGUAAGGACGAUUAUUUGGCCUAAAGCGUCCGUAGCCGGCUUAUCAAGUCUCUUGUUAAAUCCAAUGAUUCAAUCAUUGACCCGCAAGAGAUACUGUUAUGCUAGAGGACGGGAGAGGUCGACGGUAGUCCAGGGGUAGGGGUGAAAUCCUAUAAUCCUUGGAGGACCACCAGUGGCGAAGGCGGUCGACUAGAACGUGCCUGACGGUGAGGGACGAAAGCUGGGGGAGCGAACCGGAUUAGAUACCCGGGUAGUCCCAGCUGUAAACGAUGCGGGCUAGGUGUUGGGGUAGCUACGAGCUACUCCAGUGCCGCAGAGAAGUUGUUAAGCCCGCCGCCUGGGGAGUACGGCCGCAAGGCUG
rnacentral:rRNA from 1 species